rnacentral:rRNA from 1 species
UACGGAGGGUGCAAGCGUUAUCCGGAUUCACUGGGUUUAAAGGGUGCGUAGGCGGGCAGGUAAGUCCGUGGUGAAAUCUCUGAGCUUAACUCAGAAACUGCCAUGGAUACUAUUUGUCUUGAAUAUUGUGGAGGUAAGCGGAAUAUGUCAUGUAGCGGUGAAAUGCAUAGAUAUGACAUAGAAUACCGAUUGCGAAGGCAGCUCGCUAAACGAUCAUUGACGCUGAGGCACGAAAGCGUGGGGAUCAAACAGG